CCCUUAGACGUUCUGGGCCGCACGCGCGCUACACUGACCAGUGCAACAAGCAUCCGUCCUUGGCCGACAGGCCCGGGCAAUCUUUGAACGCUGGUCGUGAUGGGGAUAGACUUUUGCAAUUUUUGGUCUUCAACGAGGAAUUCCUAGUAAACGCAAGUCAUCAACUUGCAUUGAUUACGUCCCUGCCCUUUGUACACACCGCCCGUCGCACCUACCGAUUGAAUGGUCCGGUGAAAUCUCGGGACGGCGGCUCGGUCGCUUGCGUCCGACUGCUGAAACUUGAUUAAACCAUAUCAUUUAGAGGAAGGUGAAGUCGUAACA
rnacentral:rRNA from 1 species